AAUGUCGAGUGCCUAUCUAUGUACUAGAAUCUAUUGUGCAAAGCAAUAUGAAGUUUUGUGUUGUAGAACCACUAGGUUUGAAUAAGUGAUGUGUUAUUCGCGUUAUUUACUCGAAUUUAUGGUUUUAAGUUCAGUUUUAUCAAUAGAAGCGAAUCUAAAUAUAAACAAUGAAACUACGAUUCCUUACUACCCAUUGACAGCUUCUAAGAUUAUCCAAAGAACCUCUGUGCAUAAUGCGUCAGUUCAGAGAGUAAUUGUAGAAUCCGAAAGUAAAACAAUUCCAGUAGAGUCAAAAAGCUCAUAUGAAACAUACUGUAACGAUUAUGUUCAUUUAAAAUAUGAUAUAGCGUUUAUAACUGUUAUUUUCUUAUUUGUUUAUUAAUUAGACUCUAAUACUUUUUAAAUAAUUAUAAUAUUAAACUAUGUUUCAACUCGAAUGUAAUGUCUUGAGCACUAUUAGGGACAUAGUAAAAUUGUAUUCUUCUUGAGUCUCAAGAAAAUAAUGAUCUUGAUAUAAUUUAUUGUACAGUUUUUAUAAAACUUAUAUUUUAAAUAAAUUCUAUAAUUUUUUCUA